AUAACCUCGGAAACUGAGAAUAAACCCGAUAGAUCAUGUGCCUGGAACGGCUUUGGUUCAAACAAUUUAUUGCCAUAGGAUGGGACUGCGGCCUAUCAGCUUGUUGGUGAGGUAAUGGCCCACCAAGGCUAUAACAGGUACGGGCUCUGAGAGGAGAAGCCCGGAGAUGGGUACUGAGACACGGACCCAGGCCCUAUGGGGCGCAGCAGGCGAGAAACCUUAGCAAUGUGCGAAAGCACGACUAGGUUAAUCCGAGUGGUUCCUGCUAAAGGAACCUUUUGUCAGUCGUAAAACCACAGACGAAUAAGGGGUGGGCAAGUCUGGUGUCAGCCGCCGCGGUAAAACCAGCACCUCGAGUGGUCAGGAGGUUUAUUGGGCCUAAAGCAUCCGUAGCCGGUUGCAUAAGUUUUCGGUUAAAUCUAUGCGCUUAACGUAUAGGCCGCCGAAAAUACUGUGCAGCUAGGGAGUGGGAGAGGUACACGGUACUCGAUAGGAAGGGGUAAAAUCCUUUGAUCUAUUGAUGACCACCUGUGGCGAAGGCGGUGUACCAGAACACGUUCGACGGUGAGGGAUGAAAGCUGGGGGAGCAAACCGGAUUAGAUACCCGGGUAGUCCCAGCUGUAAACGAUGCAGACUCGGUGAUGCAUUGGCUUGUGGCCAAUGCAGUGCCGCAGGGAAGCCGUUAAGUCUGCCGCCUGGGAAGUACGUACGCAAGUAUGAAACUUAAAGGAAUUGGCGGGGGAGCACCACAAGGGGUGAAGCCUGCGGUUCAAUUGGAGUCAACGCCAGAAAUCUUACCUGGGGCGACAGCAGAAUGAAGGUCAAGCUGAAGACUUUACCAGACAAGCUGAGAGGUGGUGCAUGGC
rnacentral:rRNA from 1 species